rnacentral:rRNA from 1 species
CAAUAGCGUAUAUUUAAGUUGUUGCAGUUAAAAAGCUCGUAGUCGGAUUUUGGCUGAGAACGAUCGGUCCGCCGUUAGGUGUGCACUGAUUGGUCUCAGCUUCCUGGUGAGGAGGUGUGCUUCACGGCCACUUAGUCACCGUGGUUACUUUGAAAAAAUUAGAGUGUUCAAAGCGGGCUUACGCUUGAAUAUAUUAGCAUGGAAUAACACCAUAGGACUCCUGUCCUAUUUCGUUGGUCUCGGGACGGGAGUAAUGAUUAAGAGGAACAGUUGGGGGCAUUCGUAUUUCAUUGUCAGAGGUGAAAUUCUUGGAUUUAUGAAAGACGAACUUCUGCGAAAGCAUUUGUCAAGGAUGUUUUCAUUGA